rnacentral:rRNA from 1 species
AUUGAACGCUGGCGGCAGGCUUAACACAUGCAAGUCGAGCGAGGGAAGGUAGCUUGCUACCGGACCUAGCGGCGGACGGGUGAGUAAUGCUUAGGAAUCUGCCUAUUAGUGGGGGACAACAUCUCGAAAGGGAUGCUAAUACCGCAUACGUCCUACGGGAGAAAGCAGGGGAUCACUUGUGACCUUGCGCUAAUAGAUGAGCCUAAGUCGGAUUAGCUAGUUGGUGGGGUAAAGGCCUACCAAGGCGACGAUCUGUAGCGGGCCUGAGAGGAUGAUCCGCCACACUGGGACUGAGACACGGCCCAGACUCCUACGGGAGGCAGCAGUGGGGAAUAUUGGACAAUGGGGGGAACCCUGAUCCAGCCAUGCCGCGUGUGUGAAGAAGGCCUUAUGGUUGUAAAGCACUUUAAGCGAGGAGGAGGCUCUUUUGGUUAAUACCCAAGAUGAGUGGACGUUACUUGCAGAAUAAGCACCGGCUAACUCUGUGCCAGCCGCCGCGGUAA